rnacentral:lncRNA from 1 species
CAAGUGCAUCGCAAUUCUUCUACAUGUGUAAGAAGAGAUGUUCUUGACUAAUUGUUUCAUGAGUUAACUUUUGAAGUCGUCUUCAACUUUUGAAAUGGCGUGAAAUCAGAAGUUAGAAAAAUGAGCAGCACCAUACAAGAAACAAGGCUUGAUGACGCAGCACUAGCGUAGAAGGAUUAAAAAUAUAAAUCCUUGAAUAACCAAAGUUUUUGGAACCCACCAAUUAAUUGAUGAGUUGAUGAUUACAAUGGAUAACACCCAUGACUUAAAUAAGUCAUUUGCAACACUUUUGAACAACUCAAAAGGCUUAGAGAAUUAAAACGAAAGUAAAUAACAUUAAUCGGACACAAUUGAAAAGUCUGAAACUUAUUACAAACUUUAUUUUUCGGUUUUAGAAGCUUAAUUCCUCUUAAACAUGACGGGCUCAUGAUAUCAUUCCUCUUGUUUUGCUCGUGAUUCUCUUCAAAAUGACAUAUUA